rnacentral:rRNA from 1 species
AGUAACGCGUAGGUAUCUGUCCACGGGUGGGGGAGUAACGCUGGGAAACUGGUGCUAAUACCGCAUGACACCUGAGGGUCAAAGGCAGCGAUGUUGCCUGUGGAGGAGCCUGCGUUCGAUUAGCUUGUUGAUGGGGUAACGGCCUACCAAGGCGACGAUCGAUAGCUGGUCUGAGAGGAUGAUCAGCCACACUGGGACUGAGACACGGCCCAG